rnacentral:rRNA from 1 species
UGCUAGUUGUACGAGUUCACACUCGUAGCAAAUAGCUCCGUAACACGUGGCCAAACUACCCUACAGAGAACGAUAACCUCGGGAAACUGAGGCUAAUAGUUCAUACCCGAUCUCUCGCUGGAAUGCCGAGACGCGCAAACGCUCACGCGCUGUAGGACGUGGCUGCGGCCGAUUAGGUAGACGGUGGGGUAACGGCCCACCGUGCCGAUAAUCGGUACGGGUUGUGAGAGCAAGAACCCGGAGACGGAAUCUGAGACAAGAUUCCGGGCCCUACGGGGCGCAGCAGGCGCGAAACCUUUACACUGCACGCAAGUGCGAUAAGGGGACCCCGAGUGCGAGGGCAUACAGUCCUCGCUUUUCAGUACCGUAGGGAGGUACUGGAAUAAGAGCUGGGCAAGACCGGUGCCAGCCGCCGCGGUAAUACCGGCAGCUCGAGUGAUGGCCGAUUUUAUUGGGCCUAAAGCGUUCGUAGCCGGCCACACAAGUCCAUCGGGAAAUCCGCCAGCCUAACUGGCGGGCGUCCGGUGGAAACUGUGUGGCUCGGGACCGGAAGACCCGAAGGGUACGUCUUGGGUAGGAGUGAAAUCCUGUAAUCCUGGACGGACCGCCGAUGGCGAAAGCACUUCGGGAAGACGGAUCCGACGGUGAGGAACGAAAGCCAGGGUCUCGAACCGGAUUAGAUACCCGGGUAGUCCUGGCCGUAAACGAUGUCUGCUAGGUGUGACUCCCACUACGAGUGGGUGUUGUGCCGUAGGAAGCCGCUAACAGACCGCCUGAGAAGUACGUCCGCAGGAUGAACUUAAGGAAUUGGCGGGGAGCAUACACCGGAGGAGCUGCGGAUUAUUGGACU